rnacentral:tRNA from 20 species
GGGCGAUUAGCUCAGUUGGUAGAGCGCCUGCCUUACAAGCAGGAUGUCGGCGGUUCGAGCCCGUCAUCGCCCA